GGCUGUAGUGAUUUCAGUUUGUAUAUUGCAUUAUAUCGUUACGUGCACUUGAAGGUACCGCCUUUGGGUCCUUUUUGGCGCACACCAUUUAGGGGUUUCAAUUCUUUCAAGAAUAGUUACCUCCUUGUGGACUCUCUCAUGAUGGGUAAAUGUUUUGUACUUUUAUUUGGUGGUACAUUUUUGUUCAUGUUAUAUGUAAUGGGUUGUUGUCAAUUGUUGUUGAUUUGUGUUGAUUCUUGUGAUUUGAGGGUUAUUAUGAUGAAUUGGAUCUGGGUUGUUCAAGAUUUGUUGUGAAUGUUGAUAGCUUUUUUAGAUCUAGGUUAUUAAGAGGUUGAUUUUAAAGAUUUGCUUGAUUUUGUUGAGUGUGAUAGUUUGAUGGGUUUUUUGAUUUAUAAUGUGUAGGUAGAGGUGCACAAAAUAACCGGUUAUUAACUGAAACUGUAGCGGGUUAAUAGUUGAUCGAGGAGUAAUCGAUUAGUGGAUGUUUUUAACCGUAGGUUGAAGUGAAUAACCAAACCAGUUAAAGCAAUAUCCAGCUAGCAAAAAUGUGAAAACAAACGGCGGAUGAAAUUGAGCUUGAUCUUGCGGUUCUUGAUAACAAGACGAUGUGGAAGGUGCACAGUUUCAUCGGUAGCGCAGCCAAAAAGGAGGCUGCAGCGACUUGUAACAUGGUUUUUUCUGUACAGACUGAAAAUGUGGAAGAACAGUUUAGGUAAAAGGAUGCUGGAGAAUAAUAUGUGGAUAUUGUUUGAAGGCGGAAAGGCACU